AGCUUUAUAUUCAAUAUAUGAUUUUAAAUUGCAAAUUUAAAGUAAGAUGGUACAUCUUAAAGCUU
rnacentral:tRNA from 1 species